rnacentral:rRNA from 1 species
AUUGAACGCUGGCGGCAUGCCUUACACAUGCAAGUCGAACGGUAACGCGGGGCAACCUGGCGACGAGUGGCGAACGGGUGAGUAAUGCAUCGGAACGUACCCAGUAGUGGGGGAUAGCUCGGCGAAAGCCGGAUUAAUACCGCAUACGACCCAUGGGUGAAAGCGGGGGAUCGCAAGACCUCGCGCUGGUGGAGCGGCCGAUGUCAGAUUAGGUUGUUGGUGAGGUAAAGCUCACCAAGCCGACGAUCUGUAGCUGGUCUGAGAGGACGACCAGCCACACUGGGACUGAGACACGGCCCAGACUCCUACGGGAGGCAGCAGUUAGGAAUUUUGCGC